CAAUUGAACCUCGCGGGAGAAGAGAGGGUGGGUAAAAGGGUGGAUCCCGGCUCUCUGGAGGCAGUGCGCUGCAGGGGCUUCGCAAGGGCCCUAUCCUUCCAACACUUAGCACGCGUCCGCGAGGCUUAUCUGGAACCAGCCACGGUUCAUCAGUUCCUUUGUGUACAUGCAAAUGUUGUGUUCAGAAAGGAUGAGUACCUUCUAGGUAGGUACACUGUGUCAGGUGUUCUCACCUCAAUUUCCUUACUUGUCCAUUUCACAGAUGCAGAUACAUUGCACAGCAUCCUCCAGUAUUUUCGCAGCAAGUUCCCCCAAAACAACGUUAUGAUCACAAAUGCCAUGCUUGUAAAUCGCCCUAGGUAUCUAUUGUUGAUAAGCUUAGCUUUCCAAGCAGGUUUAGUAUUAAGCAGUACACAUUGUCAAAAUAGUAAAAUGGAAGUAGGAAAAAUGCAAAUCUUUAUUUGACCAGCCGACCAAGAUGCAAAAGAAAGUGAAAUGCUGGCCACUGAUUUGGUCUAAUUUGGGCUUGCUACGUUCACAAAGUGCGAAGGUUCUGAGCACACAACCCCCAUAAUCCGCAACUCUGUGUUUUUUACAAUGCCUUUUUAUUUCUACCUAUUUUCCUGCCCGGCACUCCCCAGGCAAACUAUUUUUCACAUCUUAGAGGUGUACCUUUUCCCUUACCCAGGGAACACCCUAGUAUUCUUACUAUACUUAGUAAUGCCUGGUAAUUCCUCUUAGUCACCCUGGUAAUACCUCUAGCUCCAGAACCUUUUCUUGAAGAGCUGAUUGGAUAUAUCUCCAUUUAUAACAAUAAGACAGAUGGCUUCUCACUGGUGUUCUUCUUGUUGACCCACCUCUUGCCACUGAUUACACUCUUGCAGCAGAACUUUACAGAAGAGGAAACCACGGGAAACCAAGUGAAGCCUCAAUUCCCACCCUCCUCCCUCCCCCGGGAGCACCUCCCUUCCAGCCUGCGCUCGUCACUUCAGGUGCCCAGUGAUUUCUCAAUGGACAUUUCCCUCUGUCUGGCAGGAAUCUGAUUUUCCCACCAGAUGAGUUCAACGCUGUCUGUUUUUCAAACCAUAUCUCAAAAGCCACACAGAACCCUGAGCACACAUUUCACCAGAUUUGACAGAUGAGCUUUGGUAUGAAGAAAACCUCCAAGAAUGGACUUGGCUGAGGUGCAACAAUAAACACCAGAAUCAACCAAA